AAGCUCGUAGUUGAAUUUCGGAUAAUAAAAAUUUAACAUCCAUCUCUAAGAUGUGAUUUAAUUUUUAUUUCCUUCCUUUUGAAUACACUCCUUAAAAUUAAUUUUUAAGGGUUCAGUGUUUCAAAUCGUUUACUGUGAAGAAAUUAGAGUGUUCAAAGCAGGCGUAGAUUAGCCUUUGAAUAUAUUAGCAUGGGAUAAUGAAAUAGAACUUUAGUCCUACUUUCGUUGGUUUCUAGGGCUGAAGUAAUGAUUAAUAGGGAUAGUUGGG
rnacentral:rRNA from 1 species